rnacentral:rRNA from 1 species
UAGCAUAUCAAUAAGCGGAGGAAAAGAAACCAACAGGGAUUGGCCUCAGUAACGGCGAGUGAAGCGGCAACAGCUCAAAUUUGAAAUCUGGCCUCACGGUCCGAGUUGUAAUUUGUAGAGGAUGCUUCGAGCAUGGUCUGGCCUAAGUUCCUUGGAACAGGACGUCAUAGAGGGUGAGAAUCCCGUAUGCGGCCAGGUGCCUACGCUCAUGUGAAGCUCCUUCGACGAGUCGAGUUGUUUGGGAAUGCAGCUCAAAAUGGGUGGUAAAUUUCAUCUAAAGCUAAAUAUUGGCCAGAGACCGAUAGCGCACAAGUAGAGUGAUCGAAAGAUGAAAAGCACUUUGGAAAGAGAGUUAAACAGUACGUGAAAUUGUUGAAAGGGAAGCGCUUGCAACCAGACUUGCGUGCGGCCGAUCAUCCGGUGUUCUCACCGGUGCACUCGGUCGCGCUCAGGCCAGCAUCGGUUUUGGUGGUUGGAUAAAGGCCCUAGGAAUGUAGCUUCUCUCGGGGAGUGUUAUAGCCUAGGGUGCAAUGCAGCCCACCGGGACCGAGGACCGCGCUUCGGCUAGGAUGCUGGCGUAAUGGUUGUAAGCGACCCGUCUUGAAACACGGACCAAGGAGUCUAACAUCUAUGCGAGUGUUUGGGUGUCAAACCCAUACGCGUAAUGAAAGUGAACGGAGGUGAGAACCCUUAAGGGUGCAUCAUCGACCGAUCCUGAUGUCUUCGGAUGGAUUUGAGUAAGAGCAUAGCUGUUGGGACCCGAAAGAUGGUGAACUAUGCCUGAAUAGGGUGAAGCCAGAGGAAACUCUGGUGGAGGCUCGCAGCGGUUCUGACGUGCAAAUCGAUCGUCAAAUUUGGGCAUAGGGGCGAAAGACUAAUCGAACCAUCUAGUAGCUGGUCUGC